UCCCACAUGCAGUUUAUUCAUCUUGCUCUGAUAUAGGAGAAGACAAGUAUAGAGGAGGAAAGACUUAUUGCGGCUCAUGGUGCCGGAGGUCUCCUUCCACGGCCACUACUUGGCUCUCUUGUUUCUGGCUUUGUGAAUGCUGAGGCGGAGAGUCACGGUGAGGAGCACAGGAAGGAGCAAGGUAGCUCCCUUUGUAAUAGACAGGGAGCCUCACAGUGCGGACGUCAGAAUCAGGACAGAGGGUAUCCAGAGUCUCAUGUGGAGCAGAUCACCCACCGCUCAAGUGCAUGCCAUCCUUCGUCACCGGCAGCCAAGGAGGCCUCAGAGGUACCUGGGGUCUGAGCCUUUGCUCAUGGAGGAACUCCAGCUUGUGCCGGUGCUGGCCCCAGUACAGUGAACUCCUCCCACCCCUGCCUCCACCUCUCUGUCCCCAGUACAGUGAACUCCUCCCACCCGGCCUCCACCUCUCCUACUUAGAUCCCAUUUUCAGCUUUACCUUUAAAUAACAGUAGGAGUUGCCCAUUUGGAGUGCAUGAGGGAGGCAGGCUGAGUUUCACCGGGGAACAAGAGCAUCGUGAAGAGCAACACUCCAUGCCUGCUCUACUCAGCACAUCUUUCCUGAUGCCCGAGUGCAGAGCAGAUUGGAAAAUUCAUUACAUUUGUCAGGACUUGAAGACGAUCUAAAUGCAAGCUGCCCUGCUCUGAGAUUUAGUAGCCUUCAGGAUAGCUUGCAUAUUUGUUAUAUUGCCACCUUUGGUGUUUUAACAUUUAUUAUCCCCCAGGGUCAUAAAAAUGUCUUCCUUUUUACAGAGAGCACAGACCCAGAACUCCUGGGCCCACCAACUCACUGGCGUUGGAAAGGAUCUCAGUGAAGUUUUGUACUCUUGAUUUGUAACUAAAAUGCAACUCUGCUAUGAAGUUGUUUGGCCUGGCAAGUUGCAGUGAGGGCAUCUCCUCCCUCCCCGAAGAUAUGGCUGCUGAGACACCAGUAUGAACAAGUGUGCUAGCUCAGGCUAGCUCAGGGUCUCAGACUUGUGUGUUUGUCCUAGCUGAUUUGUGGAACAAUGCAUUGCUCUAAAAUUGCUUUUUUUCUUAUUCUUUAAGUUAGACCAGACAAGUUGAGUGCUGGCUUUUGCUUCAUUCAAAGCAAGGUUAAGGGUAGGGUAAUGGCUGUGGGACCUGAUUUGCUACUCAGGCUUCUAUCUAGCUCAUGUCUUCUUUUCUUUUCUUCUUCCUCUUCACCCUCUUCCUUCUCUUCCUCCUCUUCUUCUUCCUGUGAGUGCAAAUACUCAUCCUUCAACAGAUAAAAGAGAAUUCAUGCGACAACUUGCACCCCCAAAACACCCAAAACCACCCCCCCCAAAAAUCCCCCAGACAACAAAAGAAAAAUGGUUGUUUUGACUUUAGCUAUUUCAGAGAUUUUGGUUUAUACUCAUAAUUUCUGAGCCUGAGGUGGGGCAGAAUAUUAUGGUGGGAGCUGUGUUUGAAGCAAUUCUGCUCCAUUUAUGGUGGCCAAGAGUCCAAGAAGGGGAAAAGGAGCAAGGCUCUCAGGAUGCCUUGAAGGGCACACCCCACUGAAUUAAUUUCCUUAAAUGAGGCCCUGCCUCCUCAGGUUGUACUAUCUCCCAGUAACCAUUAAGUUAUGGAUCUACCAGUGGAUGAACCCUUGGUGAGGCCAUCUCAUCAACUCUGAACACUGUUCUGGUGGGACCAAGCCUUCAACAUCUGAGCUAUGGAGAGCCAUUUAUUAUGCAAGCUUGAACAGAGCCCUUGAGGGAGCAUAGACAUGGCUGCAAACAAGACAACCCUCUGCUCUCAAGGAAGGUGCUAUCUCCCAAGACUGACUAUUCUGCCAUUGAAAAGGUGCUGGCUGCCCGUUUACAAGAAGUGUGAGAGCCUUGGACAACUGCUUCCCAGCACCAGGUCCUGUGUGGGCCACGGCAGCUGCUGUGAACUCAUCGUUGCAGAGGUCAAACCCAGAUGACACACUUCUCUCCUUCCUCUUCCUGCCUCCUCUUCUGUAUUGGUCCCUGAGCCUUGGGGAGAAGGCACGUGAUACAGAUGUCUUAUUUAUGGCUGAGUGCUCCACAUCCUCUUAUCCUCUGCACUUUGAUCACUGGUAAGUUUCUGAGUUAACCAUUGCCCACUGCACAAGGAGGCUUCUCUGAUGUGGUCUGAGAGAUGCACUAACCUAUGGGUAGAGAGAUAUCUAUUUUGAGGGUAGUUUGAUGCUGUAUGCAUUCAGCCAAAUAAUGAGGAGUGGGGGCUCAGGUCUAUGAGCUCCCUGGACACAGGCUCUUAGUCUAGAAUUAUUCUUAAUAAAUAUACUUCUCCUAAUAUUAAAAAUUACCAUGAGAAUUAUAAAACAUCUGAAAAGUAGAGACCCAAAAUAAAAUACGACACUGGUCUAAUUAUGUUAUUGCAAACACAGGUAAGUUUAUAUUCUUUUGGAGUGUGUGUAUACCUGCUUAUAACUUUUAUAAUCAUUGUUGUCAUACUUUUAAACCACUUUUUAUUUAUUUUUUUAAUUUAUUAUUAUUAUUAUUAUUAUUAUUAUUAUUGGUUUUUCGAGACAGGGUUUCUCUGUAUAGCCCGGGCUGUCCUGGAACUCACUUUGUAUACCAGGCUGGCCUCGAACUCAGAAAUCUGCCUGCCUCUGCCUCCAGAGUGCUGGGAUUAAAGGCGUGUGCCACCACCCCCGCUCACUUUUUAUUUUUUAUUAGGCCAUGAAAAGCAGUUUUCAUAAAUAUUAUUUAAAAAUAAAAAUCAUUUUAAAAAAUAAAAAUCAUUUAAAAAUACUGAAUGCCAACAUUUAUUCAGUUUUUGGACAUUUGAUCUUGAGUCAAGUGUAAAAUAAGAUCGCAGGCCUUGGAAUUGAUAUUCUACUUGUAUCAUUUACCAGAGCUACAACUGCGGAGUAGUUAAUUAUUUUCUGUAGGCCUUGAUUUAAUUUACAGUAAAAUGGGUUAAUUGAAUUUUUAUAGGGUGGUAGAGAAAGCCAAUGAGAAUGAGAUAGUACUUACAAAUAAUCUUAACAGUGCCUGGCACUUAAACAGUAUCUGCAUAGUAAAUGCUUCUUUUAUUACUAUUGCUUCCAUUUCUUAUCUUAAUCCAUGGUCUAAGACAAGAAUACUAGUAAUAGCUCAAAAUGCCUGAAGCUGGGACUUUCUGAAGAAGUGCAUCUUAGCCAGGCAUGCUAACACGUAGCUGGAAUCCCAGCAUCUGAGAGGCUGAAGCAGGAGGAUUACAACUGUGGGCCCUGCAUGUUCAGAUUUUUGUCCUUCCAGCCCAGACAGAGGUCAAAGUUCGCUCUAACCACAUUACUGUCUGCAAAACUGGAAGGGGAGCCGGCGGGGAGCUUCAGUUGGACCUAUAAUGUCCUGCCUUUUUCUGCUGGGGAGUGGGUCCGUAUAUUAUUUAUACUAGUUAAACAUUUUUGCUCACCUGAAGUAUUUCUUAAUU